GACAGAGGUGCCGAGCGUUAGGCGGAAUCACUGGGCUUAAAGCGUGUGUAGGCGGGCCGUUAAGUGUCUUGUGAAAUCCCUCGGCUCAACCGGGGAAUUGCUGGGCAUACUGGCGGUCUUGAGCAAUCUAGGGGCAGAUGGAACAAGUGGUGGAGCGGUGAAAUGCGUAGAUAUCGUCUGGAACGCCGAAGGUGAAAACAGCUCGCUGGGGCUGCGCUGACGCUGAGACACGAAAGCCAGGGGAGCGAACGGG
rnacentral:rRNA from 1 species